CUACGGGACGCAGCAGUGGGGAAUAUUGGACAAUGGGGGAAACCCUGAUCCAGCAAUGCCGCGUGUGUGAAGAAGGCCUGCGGGUUGUAAAGCACUUUCGGUUGGGAGGACUGCUUCUAGCACUAAUAUUGUUGGAAGUUGACGUUACCUUCAGAAGAAGCACCGGCUAACUCCGUGCCAGCAGCCGCGGUAAUACGGAGUGUGCAAGCGUUAAUCGGAAUUACUGGGCGUAAAGCGCGCGUAGGCGGCUAGAUCAGUCGGGUGUGAAAGCCCCGGGCUUAACCUGGGAACUGCAUCCGAUACUGUCUAGCUUGAGUACAGGAGAGGAGAGUGGAAUUCCACAUGUAGCGGUGAAAUGCGUAGAUAUGUGGAGGAACACCAAUGGCGAAGGCAGCUCUCUGGCCUGAUACUGACGCUGAGGUGCGAAAGCGCGGGGAGCAAACAGGAUUAGAUACCCCGGUAGUC
rnacentral:rRNA from 1 species